ACUCCUGUAAAAUAGAAAUAACGAUUUUACAUAGUAAAAUAUGAUAAAAAAUCUCAGUUCAUGUCAUUACGUAAUUGGUCAUAAAAUUUCAUGAUGCAAGCGGUCGCAAAUUCUAGAGAUGACGCGAGGUGUGCUGUUAUCUUCUUUCGAUUUUUGAUAAAAGAUAUCGAUAGUCGUAGGUAUUUUCAUAAAUAUUUAUACAGUUGCAGUUUUAGUGUCUAUGGACAUAAUUAUGCUAGACGAAUUAUGGGUUUGUGGACCCCUCAUAUGUGGCACGAACCAGCCGCUCAGCACAAACCAGCGUCCAGACCGACCUACAUGUCGCACCACCAAUCUACAUAACACCGUGCAUACUUGCAGCCGAUUGAAUACCUCAGGGGUUUGCCACAACCAUUCGCAUCGAUAUUUGCCAAAUAAUUUGGUACCUCGGAAAAAAAAUCAAGUUAACAGAACAUUUUCGAUUAAAGGCCACGGCAGAGUUGCUUGUCAUACAAUUAGCUUACACAAUGAAAUUGUACACUUUAGUAAAUCUCAGGUACUGGGUCAUCGAUGCAAAGAUGAACUUUUUACAUAUCACAUUCAAAAAUAGGAAUUAACUAGGUUUUUUUUUCAAUUUUAUAUGUAUUAAUGGUUACUUACAAUUACAUCAUCUAUGUAUGGCCAUUAUCUAUAUAAUAACAUGAUAAUAUUUUUAUAAUUAAUCUGUCCGUGUUUUUUUACCUGAGACUCUCCGUCUAUGAGUACAUCACCGCCGACCCUGCUGGAUGAAAAACAGACUCUUAGAGCAUCGUCGUUUUCGCAUCUUUCUGGACGACCUUCGUGUCGUACCAGCAACUUGCAAAGAGGGAGCGUGCAUUCCAACCAGUCUUCAAUUGUUAGCCAUUGCUUUGACGUCAUAACCUUGAAUGGAAAAUUAGAAGACUCAUCACGUGCUUAAUUUUUAAAGAUUUAUUAGUUGAUAAUACGAGUAGUUACCUGUCGGCUUAUUUUAAUGUUUCCUUCAUUAUUAUUCUUAUCUAACCAUUCAUAGUAGUGAAGUAAGCUUUUUAAUUUAUUUCUUUGUGAUUUUCUGAAAUAAAAAUAAUUAUUAAGUAUAUUUAAAUAAAUUAAUCGUAGAAGGUU